rnacentral:rRNA from 1 species
AUGAACGCUGGCGGCGUGCCUAAUACAUGCACGUCGAGCGAACAGACGAGGAGCUUGCUCCUCUGACGUUAGCGGCGGACGGGUGAGUAACACGUGGAUAACCUACCUAUAAGACUGGGAUAACUUCGGGAAACCGGAGCUAAUACCGGAUAAUAUAUUGAACCGCAUGGUUCAAUAGUGAAAGACGGUUUUGCUGUCACUUAUAGAUGGAUCCGCGCCGCAUUAGCUAGUUGGUAAGGUAACGGCUUACCAAGGCAACGAUGCGUAGCCGACCUGAGAGGGUGAUCGGCCACACUGGAACUGAGACACGGUCCAGACUCUUACGGGAGGCAGCAGUAGGGAAUCUUCCGCAAUGGGCGAAAGCCUGACGGAGCAACGCCGCGUGAGUGAUGAAGGUCUUCGGAUCGUAAAACUCUGUUAUUAGGGAAGAACAAAUGUGUAAGUAACUAUGCACGUCUUGACGGUACCUAAUCAGAAAGCCACGGCUAACUACGUG